rnacentral:rRNA from 1 species
GUCGAGAAUCUUCCGCAAUGGGCGCAAGCCUGACGGAGCAAUGCCGCGUGAGGGAUGAAGGCCUUCGGGUCGUAAACCUCUGUCGCCCGGGACGAAGAAUGUGACGGUACCGGGAGAGGAAGCCACGGCUAACUACGUGCCAGCAGCCGCGGUAAUACGUAGGUGGCGAGCGUUAUUCGGAUUCACUGGGCGUAAAGGGUCCGCAGGGGGUCUGCCAAGUCCGUUGUGAAAUCCCACGGCUCAACUGUGGAAAGUCAGCGGAGACUGGCGGACUGGAGUGCAUGAGGGGUGAACGGAAUUCCUGGUGUAGCGGUGGAAUGCGUAGAUAUCAGGAGGAACACCGAUGGCGAAGGCGGUUCACUGGCAUGCAACUGACCCUCAGGGACGAAAGUGUGGGUAGCAAACAGGAUUAGAAACCCGUGUAGUCC